rnacentral:rRNA from 1 species
UACAGGGGGUGCAAACGUUGCUCGGAAUCAUUGGGCGUAAAGCGCACGUAGGCGGUUUGUUAUGUCGGAUGUGAAAGCCCUUGGCUCAACUGAGGAAGUGCAUCCGAAACUGGCAAGCUAGAGUACUAAAGAGGGUCGCGGAAUUCCAUGUGUAGCGGUGAAAUGCGUAGAGAUAUGGAGGAACACCAGUGGCGAAGGCGACUUUCUGGUCUGUAACUGACACUGAGGCGCGAAAGCGUGGGGAGCAAACAGG